rnacentral:rRNA from 1 species
GGGGAAUAUUGCACAAUGGGGGAAACCCUGAUGCAGCAACGCCGCGUGAGUGAUGAAGGCCUUCGGGUUGUAAAGCUCUGUCUUCAGGGACGAUAAUGACGGUACCUGAGGAGGAAGCCACGGCUAACUACGUGCCAGCAGCCGCGGUAAUACGUAGGUGGCAAGCGUUGUCCGGAUUUACUGGGCGUAAAGGGAGCGUAGGCGGAUACUUAAGUGGGAUGUGAAAUACCCGGGCUCAACUUGGGUGCUGCAUUCCAAACUGGGUGUCUAGAGUGCAGGAGAGGAAAGUGGAAUUCCUAGUGUAGCGGUGAAAUGCGUAGAGAUUAGGAAGAACACCAGUGGCGAAGGCGACUUUCUGGACUGUAACUGACGCUGAGGCUCGAAAGCGUGGGGAGCAAACA